rnacentral:rRNA from 1 species
GACGAACGCUGGCGGCGUGCUUAACACAUGCAAGUCGAACGAAGAGCGAUGGAAGCUUGCUUCUAUCAAUCUUAGUGGCGCACGGGUGAGUAACGCGUAAUCAACCUGCCCUUCAGAGGGGGACAACAGUUGGAAACGACUGCUAAUACCGCAUACGAUCUAACCUCGGCAUCGAGGAAAGAUGAAAGGUGGCCUCUAUGUAUAAGCUAUCACUGAAGGAGGGGAUUGCGUCUGAUUAGCUAGUUGGAGGGGUAACGGCCCACCAAGGCGAUGAUCAGUAGGCUGGCCGGGGGGAAGAACCGGCCCAACGGGAAUGGAGAACCGGCCAGAACUCUUAGGGGAGGAGCCAUGGGGGAACUUCCGAAAUGGGGGGAAGUCCGGCGGAAGAAAGCCGGGGGGGUGAUGGCGGGCUUCGGGUUGUAAAAGUCUGUUUGUCGGGACAGAAGGGCUUCUUGCGAAUAGUGCGAAGGAUUGACGGUACCGGAAGAAAAAGCAACGGCUAACUACGUG